CACACACAUACACAACUCAGAAAUGGCAUUUUUUGCACAAGAUAACUCAAGAACUCAGUAUCUAACUUGUGUUCACUACACAGUAGCUCAUAUGCGCAACAUACAAACUUUGGGACUAAAAAUAACUUUCUUACAAAAUUAGUAAUCACUUUUGGUGAUUUUUGGUGAUUUCAUUCUUGACAAUAAAACAAAACCUUUAGUUAAAGUUGAAGCGCCAAAAGCUGUAGCUCCCUGAGUGGCCACUAGGGGCAUGUUCCAAAAGUAAGUCUGUCUCUAUUUGGUUCCAUGUUAAAAUUUACUACACAGUUAAACCUGUCUGAAGUCAGAUAGAAAAACGGUUCUGGUCACUUUAUCUUAUUUGUUUAUUUAUACUCAUCUGUACAGAAAUUCUGAAAUUUAAUAAGCCACAUAAAAACCGCCACGAAACACUGAACCGCUGUGUGUGUUGAUGAGAAAUAAAUAAAGCCCUCUCUUCCUGACGCUCAGUUUAUUUUUUUAAUCAUUGUGACUCUAUCAUCUCAGUAUUUUAUUGAUGACCAUCAGCCCCCCCGGCACUGAGACAGAUUCCUGUCUGUCUUUGAACAAGGUCGUCUUCGUAUAACAGACAUUUUAUUUCUGCGUCCUCGAUGGCGAGCUGAAGAGCGCAGAGGUGUCGGCACCUCAUUUAGGUUUAUAAAUGAUGAAGCAGGCGUCCGCGCUUAGAGGAUGUCCUCUGCUUCCAGCUCGCCAAAAUACCUCAGUUCAUUUACAAACAAAUAGAGUCUACUGUCUUUUUAUCAGGGAUAUUAAAUGAGGAGUUGGACACAGACUUACAGCUGAAUGAUGAUGGAAACAAUGAAAAUGUCACAUAUCUGCUUAAGUGUUAUACAAACACCAAAACCAGCUCUCUAAAUACUGGCUUUAUAAGGCAUAAUUUUUUUGCAUUUUAAUUCACAAACUCUUAAUGUUUAUGUGUCGUUUUGCCUGAUUGAUAGAUUUUUUGGUAGACUGAAGAUGGACCUUCCAUCAAUCUCUUAUUUCCUAAGUCCAGGGCCACCAUUUCCCCUCUCCUUUAUCCCCUGUGUUGUUAUUUUUGGUGCACCUGUGAUGUUUGAGCUUUGGAUUGAGUGUAAAAUUCCUGCUUUCACCAAAAGCUGACAGAAAUGUCUGCACCAGUGGGGGAGAAAUAUGAAAUAUGUUCCUGCUCUUGCAGACCAAAACCUAAGCCGUGAAAUUCUGAAACCAAUUUCCUCAAAUGCAUCCAAAUAUUUACCUGCAUAAAUUGCAUAUGUAUGACUUUUUAUCUGAAAAGCGCAGAGAUUGAGCCGUCCUGAGUGUGCAGGAGCUCCAUGUGUGCUCAGGCUGAAGACUCAGACUGCUCGGUGCACCAUUUCUCAUGUAAUCUGUGCAAAAAAAGGUUUCCAAAAUGCAGAAGGAGAAAUUAAACGGCGUCUGUUUGCACAAACGCUCUGUGGUAAACAGUUUUUCACUCCUGCUGAAGGAAAAUUUUGUUUUAACCUGUGAAUGACAUUCGGAUUAAGGCUAAAAAUCACAGAUAAACAGCCCACAUCCUCCUACGGUGUGUUCCAGUGUGUGUCUGCAGUGUAUGCACGAUUAUAUGUGUAAACAUGUGUGUAUGUGUGUGUAUGUGUGCAGACUUUAAUGCAUUUAUGUGUGUUACUUUUCUUUGUUGCUGAAUAUUAAUGUGUCAUUUGGUGGAGCCGUGUUCGGGCUGUUCAUGUUUUUUAGAUUGUGUCAAUGUCUAAUACUCAUCCAUGCAAAUCAAAUAUGUUUGAAUUAGAGCAUGUGUGUGUGUGUGUGUGUGUGUGUGUGUGUGUGUGUGUGUGUGUGUGUGUGUGUGUGUGUGUGUGUGUGUGUGUGUGUGACAGACAGACAGGAAUGCUGGGCUGUGAUUUCCCUGCAGGCUGUUCUUGCAUUUAACUGUGUUCGGCCCACAACAUUCACAUGACAUAAAUUAUUCAUAACAUCCACCGACUGUGAGUGUGUGCGCCUGUGUGGGUGAGUGUGUGUGUGUGUGCAUAACCAUAUGUGUGUGUGUGUGAGAGAGUAACUGUAUGUGUGUUUUGGAUUGAUUUUAAGUUAAUAACUCGUGUAUACGGCGGGCUGUUGGAGCGUUUUCUUUAGUACCUCGUUUUUUAAAAAAGCGUUGGGCUUUAAACACACAUACAGAUAUUAAAUCUAAAACUCUCCAGAGGUGUGACGCAUGUGAGUGUGUGCGAGAAUCAAUAUGUAGCUGCAGGUUUAUUUCAUGGCUGCAGAUGCUGGGGUGCUGGACGUCUGCUGAAAAUGAUAUUUAAGAAUGAAACACACACACACACACACACACACACACACACACACACACACACACACACACACACACACACACACACACACACAAAAGUGAUAAAAAGACACAGAGAGGGGAUUUAUGUUGAUGGAAAUCUACGUUUGAAUCCCUCAGUCAGAGGCCCAAAUUCAUGAAACAUUCUCAAGUGUGAACAUGUAUAAUAAAGGUAGAAAUCUAUUAUAUAAACAUCAUUCAUCAUUCAUCAAGAGUAUAACUCAGUCAUAUUAAUAAUCUUUGAACAGCCAGUGGAGAAAAUUAGAUUUAUAAUUAAUGUUGAAAGUAAAGAAAGGUGUUUCAGCCUUUAAAGAAUGAAAACUAGAUCAUUAUAUUAAUGCAUUUUGAAAAAAUAUGGUUAAAAAUGAUUUUACAGUUGCUGCUGUGGUUUACACUUAGAUGAUUUACUUAAAGGGCUCUUUUAACCUGUGCUAAUUCAUGAAGCUAUUUGCAAUCUAAGCACUCCAACAAACUCAGGAUUACAUUGGGAUGUCUGGUGAAUCAUGAAUUACCCCCUGAUGUUGACGCUGGGUGUGGUGCAUUUGCACGGGAUAAGCAAAGUCUGUGAUUUAUUCAAAUUUACCGACAUUUCUUCACAAGAACAUUGAAGUGCUGCACAAAAACCCACCUUAUUUCUGAGGACAGUGUCAGUCUCUUCAGCAGCAGCCAGCAGGAAAAUGAUGAAAUGGAGAAGACAUCCAGAAAGCAUUAAGCUUUAAAACAUUAGGGCAUACUGUAUAAAGUGAAAGAAAAACUUCUAUGAAUUUUACAACAAAAAAGUGAUGAAUUUCAACUUGUUUUUGUAUGCAACAUUGCUAAGAAAAAAAGACUAAGACAUGUGCCUGCAUAUUCAUUUUUGAUAAAGUAUAAUGCAUAUGUUGCAGGCUAUCCUUUGAGCGUCAAGGAUUCUGCAUUUUAUCUGUAUUUUAAGUCGACCUAUUAAUAUUUUCUAACCUUCAACAAUAUUUACUUUGACUUCUUCUUGUUCUUGUUCUUGUGGGAUGUGGGAGUAGGGGAUCUGAACUCAGCCCCUAACAUGCUUCGAUUUCAAAAACGCCUCAGGACAGAUACUCAGUUCACUGCGCUUUCAGCUACAUUGUUAUCUUCAAGUCUCAAGGCUGAAAUCUACUGAAAGGUUGAAAAAUGAAUGCCUGGGAAUGAGAGCAAAUGCACUGAUUGGUUUGAUUUGUGAUACGCAUAUAAAACAACUUUGAAUAACUGAGCCUUUUUGCACUUUGCACCCUACUUAGCAUCCAGACUGUGCGCAGCCUGACUAGCAACAUGUGGUCACACCAGUGAAAGUUGGCCAUGUGCUUUCGACCGUGCAAAGAUGAAAUAGGGCCCUUUGUGCAUGAAGCAGAAGAGCCAUACAGAAAGCCCUGUAAAGAGAUAUGAAACAUGAUAGAGGACAUGCAAGAUGACUAAUAAAAGAUAAUCAGGACAUCUUAAGUGUUCGAAAGGAGAUGCAAAUUGGCCAGAGAGAAGAUAAUGACUCCAAACAUACUAAAAUAAUCCAAAGAGAUGCAAAGUUGCAGAGAGACAAUGAAAAAUUUGUUUAAAAUGUCAGUAAACACAAAAGUAAAGGCGCAAAAAUAUGCAAAAUGACCACAGAAAUACUAAAAAUGACGGGCAAGGGAUGCACAAUUAGCAAAAUGACAACUGAAAUGAUCAACGGAAGAUUGCAGAUGACCAAUAUACCUAAAAAACCCUCAAAUAUACUGUAUAGUCUAAAAGAAGAGCAAAAGAAUCAUAACAUGACUGAAAAUCAUGGAAAAAAAAGACCUAAACAUCCACAAAGAAACUAAAUCAGUCCAGGGAUUUGCAUGUAUAAUGACCGGGCGGUUAUACUUGUAAGUGCACAAAAAAUAGAUACAGGGAUAUAAUGUGCUUCUUAGGUUGUUAUUUUCAGCCAUCCAUAAGAUUUAUGUCAAAACUAGAAGAAAUUAAAGCAUAAAAAAUAAACGAAGACAAGUCUUACAGAAUACAUGAUAGUAAUUGCAUGAACUGUGCAUGUACUUCUACAGGGUUUGUAUCCAAAAAUGAUAAAAAACUGAAAAAGAAGAGACCUGCAGAAGUAGAAAAAUCCAGAGAAUUAUGGGUCUUUUUCUGCAAAGACUCUUAGAUCCAGAGCUCUAUGGAUAAUCAGGCAGGUUUAGGAAAUGAUUUAGUGGCUCUGCUGUGAAUUUGACUUGAAUUCUCAUGAUGUGUUGAAUAAUGGAAAUCAUAUUCUCAUUCUGUCUCGACAUGGACAGGGUUAGAUUACUAGUUACUGUAGUUCACCGUUAUUAGAUCUGAACCAUCUCACACAGUCAAACUUACUCUACAGUUUUCCCCUCAAAUAGAAAUGACAGAAAAGUCGACGCCUACACCCAACAAUCCAUCUUAAUGAUCGCUCAUCACAUUAAAUCUGCCGACAGCACAAUAAAAAAAAAACCUCCGGCUCUAGUUUGAGUGGGAGAAAUCUGCUGAAACAAAAAACACUUUUCAGACCACCAAAUAAAAAUAUAACCAAAAAAAAACAAAACUUUUUUUUCCAACAAUAAUGAUGAUUAAUGACCUCUGGAUGAAUAACAAAAUAAUAUUUUUAAAAAGUGCCUGUUGAUGUUUUUGCUUUCUUUGGGGUUUAAGAAUGACUAAACUAAUACUCCACACUUCCACACUGAAAGCUGACUUUGUUUUCACUUGAUAUGAAGUACUGGAUACGCAGUUUUCAUGAUGUUGGCAUCUACUCUGUUUGUCAGUCAUGCAGCCGUGACCUCUGACCUUUAUCGCUCUUCCACUUGACUGUUUGAAAUGUCAGUGACUUCAGGAGUUCAACUGUCAGUGAGGCCAAAGAAAGACAGACAACCGAGGGGAAAGAAGUCGCCAGAGUUGUGAUAUUUGCUUGACUGUAAAUGGUUAUUUUCCUGAAUUUGUUUUUACUGCCUGUUAUUUUAUCAUUUAAGACUCAUUAAAGAGCAGUUUUCUCAGUCAUCACUCGUAUAAGAGCUAAACAACAACCUGAAGCUCCUUUUUCUUUUCUUUCUUUCUUUCUUUCUUUCUAAAUGAGCCCAACUUUAGGGGUCUCUACAUGCCCCAAGGGGUGAGGAGGGUCAAGUGUCUUGCCCAAGGACACUUAAAGGGAUAUUCCAGCGUGAAAUUAAUUUAGGGUCAAACACACCGUAACAGAGUUAGACACCCCCUUGAGAGAUUAAUGUUGCCGACCGCUUGCUUCUCUAGUUUUACCAACUUUAGUGAUGACCGCACAAUAGCAAUACACAGCGGUCUGAGGAGCCAUAAACAAACCUCAAUUAAAACGCCACUCUAUAGCCACAAAUAAUGCUCAAAACAGCACCUAACUUCAACUCACCUACUCUCUUCCAGCAGCUGCUUGUUUGUAGCAAGACCUUGUGCCAGUCCAUUACUGACUGCUGCAACAUUCAUCUCUCGAGGGGGUGUCUAACUCAGUGUAAUUAAUUUUAAUUAAUUUUACUCCUAAAUAUUCCUUUAAACAUGUGGACAGCUCUGGGAACGAACCCCUGAUGUUCAGAUUGGGAGAUUACUGACUCUACUAACUGAGCCACAGCCACCCCUGAUGUACAGAUGAACCAGAUGAGGCCUUUCACAGCAGCAGUCAGAACAUCAUAAUGUUUGAACUCCCUUUAAGAUGAGACAACUUGAAAUAUUGUAUAUUUCUCACAAAAGUAAGAAUCCUUUUUUACAGUCCGUGAAAUCACAAGUUUUUCAGCGCCUCCUUACCUUCCAAAACUCAACCUCUCAGUAAAAGUGUUUCCUGUUUUAUUUUGUAAGUCUUUUUUCUUGGUGUGUCUGGUCUAACUUUACUUCCUGUUCCCUCUCGUUGUCUCCACCUGUGCUUUGUUGUCUCACCUGUGCCUCAUUGCUUGUUACCCAGUGUGUUUAGUCUCUGUGUUUUCCCCUCUUUUUUUUAUCAGAUCACAGUCAAACCCUCCCAUGUGUUUCUGCGGAUUUCCCUCCAGCUCUGUUGUGGUUUCUCUCGUGUUAUUGGAUUUUCACCCAGGACUCUGUCACAGUAAGCCUUUUGUAUUUUUUUCCCUCUGUGGUUUUUUGUUGAUAAAAGGUGUUGUUGUCUGCACCUGGGUCUAUUUGCUUUGUUGAAAUCUGACAAGAGUGGGCUAGUUAUGUAACACUGAGCUGUGUAAUAGCUCUACCAGUCUUAUUUUGGUGUCUCAACUGGUUUAAACUUGGACAUACAAGUACUUCAUAGAUAUUUGUUGGAAGCUUGAAAACAGACAGUACCAGUCUAACAAGGACGUGUGGCUACACUAGCUUUGGAGCUACUACACAAGCAUUGUUGGAGCUAAUUGCUGAUCAGUGUGUGAGCCUCUUCUUCUUCUUCAUACUUUGACUUUUUAUGCUAAAGUUGAAGUGAUGCUGUGAGAGUUUUCUUUUUUCAUUGUUUAAAAAAUAGACUGAAACUGAGACUGAUGCCUCUUUGUAACUGUCAUAAGCAAUCAGGACCAUCAGCAAUAAGAUUGAUAACUUCUGUGGCAAAAAAAGAACAAAAAAAACCUCAUUCUGAAUGAUUGAUGUGUUAGUUAAAAGAUAACAGGAUGAGCUUUUUGUCUGGAGAGACUCUCACAUGUACAGGACAGGAGAUAAGAGUUAUCACUAUGUCCACAAGGGGCACCAGAACCAACACAAAAGUUCAUCAAAAGUUGCUCUUUAAUAAUCUCAGUUGGUUGGUUUAGUUAAUUGCCUCAGUGUGUACAUGGUUUUCAGUUCUUUUGUAGCCAGCCCCAAGUGGGCACCUGAGGAACUGCAGUUUUAGCUCGUGAUGAGCACAGUAGUUUUUUUAGAUGUACUGAAUCACUAGAAUCAGUUCGCUUUUUGUUUUUUUUGUUGUUGUUUUUUUUUGUUUUUUUGUGGGGUUUUUUUUGUCUUUCCUUUUGUCUCACAUUUAAAUGGGGUAGGCGCUAUAAACUCUUAGCUUCAGCCUUUACCCUUUUGGCCAAACAGUAUGAUUACUAACUAUAUAACUAAGUGAGAAACGAACGAAUCACUAGAGGAAGUAAUUCAGUUCAGUAUGUUCACUUCAAAGAUUUGGUUCUUUUGAAUGAAUCGUUCGCAAAUGACACAACACUCGUUUUAGCAUUUCCACAUUGGCUUUAAUUUCAGACUGGAGGUUGCAACUUGAUGCAAACAUGAAAAGCCAAGGCAGGUAGAGCAGCAGCAAAGACCAGAGAAAGCAUCAGUGACCAUCCAUAGGACUCUGUUAAAAUCAGAGAGCAUCAAAGAGGAGCUGGAGUGGAGGUGAGCCGUAGAGGAAGCAGGAAGAGUAGGCAGGCUGUAGAAGUUUGAAUGGAGCGCCAUUCAAUUUGACAUUUACCACUUAGAUGCAUAGAAGGUUAUUGAAUGACUUGUGAGCUGAUACAAGCUGGCAUUUGGGUCAGUUAAUGUACCUGACCUUACAGCCUGCCUGGACUUGCACUUCGCUAAAAAUCUGCAUUCUUGUUCACCCUUUUGUGUGAGAGUGGCAGAUGAUUGACAUCGACCGGAGAACUGCAAAAACAACAGUCUUAUGAGGGGCAGCAGAUAAAAUCCCUCUUCAGCUGUUUCUCUCUAAUUUCAGCCAGACUUUACCGCCUGGAAGGAUCGGAGCCCUUCCUACGAGGCCAAAAUGUGUGUUUGUGUGUCUGUUUUUGUGUCGAGGCUGCAAUUUUUUUGUUUUGUUUUUGAUGAGAGCGCUCCGAGAAUUGACCACAGCUGUCACACAGCUGAGACCGUAAUCCUGCGUCUAUGAAUGUGCUUUUGUGCAUCUCUGAAUGUGUGUUUGUGUCUGUGGAUGUGCGCUUUGUGUGUGUCUGUGGAUGUGCGUGUAUGUGUAUCUGCUUCAGUGGGUUUCUGAUGGCGUAACCUCGACUUGUAUUGCAGAUGACACUGAAACCUUUUUAAGCUGUCAGCCUCAAUAUCUGGUCUUUACAGGAGCGGUUAAGAGGAAUAUGUGUGUUUUUUUGUGCGUGUGUGUAUGUGUGUGUGCGCGCGUGUGUGUGUUUGCAGAUUGUAUUCCCUGUGACAGUACAGCAGAACCAUAAAUGGAGUUUAAAUUUUAAAUGACCUUUGCGACCUCAAACCCUUUCUCUUUUACAUUUGGCACACUCAAACACACAUCACACACAUCCCCCCCACAUACACACAUACACCCAUACACACAUAGAGUCCAUCUCCCAGCAGUAUGACAGCUGUGGUCAUGACCUCAGAUGCACAGAAGCGUUUCCUCAAAACAACCAAAAUCUGCUGCAGAGACAUGCAAAGUAGAAAAGAGGAAAAGAUGGAAAAAGUUCUCCAACUUCAACUCUUAACAAAAAACUUUCUAACUGCACCAAAACUCCCCUCCAAAGCCACAUGAUUGGACUUAAAUCUUGGUGUAUACAUAGUUUCAGGUGCUUCCGCAGACAGCCUCAAAAGGACUUCCAUAUCGGCUUCACUUCUCAAGACCAGAUGUUACCACUAAAUCAAAUGAAGGUCAGUUCAUGUUCUCACUUUAAACAAACUGUAUCUAAGUCCAAAGAUAAGUGGACCUGUUGUUUGGUCCACACCAGGGUUUGACUGACAGCUUUUAAACUCUGUGGAACAAGUGGAAUCACUAACAAUCAGAAGUAUAAUUUACCUCCUGUCACUGUAAUGGUUGCUGUAUAUAUGAUUUUACUGGGACAAUGAAGAAAUGAGGCAGCCGGUGCAGCUCAGAACUGUACAUGAUGCCUGUUUACUUUACAAAGAAACGCUGCCAUGCACAGGACGUGUCUUUACGUUGCCAUGGCGAUGGAUCUUUCCAUUUUCCGGUUGAGUGAGGAGGGCGUCCCAUACCCGCCCGUCUUGUUUAUACCCUCCCAUUUCAAUUGAGGCACACUCCACAGCUGCGAGUGUAACUUCAUUACGAGUGACACUCGGUAGUGAAGGGCGAGUGUGUAGGGGGCGGUUUGGGAUUGGGCCCAAGUCACCUUUUUUCACUCUUCCACUCUAUCGUGCUACAAACAGGAUAACGUGUGAAGUCCAUAGACAGACACAAUACCACCAGUUUCCUCUCUUUUUCCCACAGUCCAGAUUUCUAAGUUCAGUUUAUGACACCUCUGCUCACCUCUAGUUAAUUUGGCCAACAUUAAAUUCAUCAGCGGUAAAGGUCUUUUUCGUAACCAUGCGGUGUCAUGAUUUAAGUCUACAAGUAGAGAUUUUAAGCAGGAAAAUGUCAUGUAAGAUGUAUAAAUGAAAAUGGAUUAAUUCCUUGAUGAAAUAAGUUUAAAGUAGGGUAGAUGAUUCUGUCAGAUGGAGAGGCUUAUUUUCUGUAAAUCUGGUUUAAUCCAUUUUAAAGUAAGGUUGACAUUCUGAAUGUGAGGUUGGUUUCAGCACCAUGGACAGCGUUGUGGAUUGUUGACGACAGCAUAGUUGGUGACUAGUUGGUUGAAGCAGAAAUUCUUUGGACUAGAUCCAUAUAUUAAAGUUCAGAUUAACUAGAAAAUCUAAUUUCCAUAUUGCACACACAAUGCCCUGACCUCAACGGGACAUAUUCGGGUUUUUUUCCUUUUUUUUGAACGUGAAUAAUGAUGAAGGUUAUCUCAUCGCCCACUCACUGUUCAAAUUAGUGUCAGACAUUUUUCUUGACCUCUGACCUCUGUAGAGAGCCAGAGGGUUAGAUAUGAUCGCAAACUGUACACAUGUUUAUUUUCUGGCUCUUUUUUUUUCACCUGCAGGUCACAGAGUUCGAAUAUGCUGACCUGAAACAUAAAAACAUGAUAUAAUUUAGAAAGACUGACAGAUUCUAAAAAGCACCUCGAGGUAAUUCAGGAGGCUGGAGGUCAGAAAACAUGAUUCCUGAGUGCUUUAUCCUGACGCCUACAUGUAUGGCAUUGAUGUCAUCUAUUAAACAUGAAAGGCUUUCUGCACUGACAGGACUCAGAGAGGCUGCAAUCUGCUCUUUUAUUUGUGGGUUUGAGAGAUGACAGAGGGACAGAUCCACAAAAAAGGACUGAAUAGUGUUUUGUGCAAACCAAACCUUUGCAAAUAAGACAAAAAGAUUGAGAUGAAUUCACAGAGCGAGAGGUCAGGUCCUCAAACUGUGCUGCAGAGCAAAUUUAAUCUCCGAGCGCCAGUGUUGUUUGCAUUCAUCCAUAUGAGCCAUUAUGCAUUUUUUCAGAGUAAAAUAAGCCUUUUUAUGUGCAAAUGAACCGAGAAUGGCUUCAUGCUAUCAGAGUGAAUUAGCAAUGUCCAGACUGACCUGCUCUCUCUGUGUUUGCACGGUUUCUAAAGUCUGGCACACACUAAAAUAUGUUCAAAAUCUUCAUCAAUAGAGACUCCACACAUGGAAACAGAUGCUGAAGUCGUGAUUGAAUUUCAGCUCCUUCCCAGCGCUGCUAAUUAAGCAAACACUUGUGUUGGCGUCGAGUAUCAACAAGCAUUUGUUGCUUUUCCUUCUAGCGGCUGCUUGCUUUCUGAUCAGCUGUCGAGUUUUUCCUCAUGACAUUAGACAGAGUUCAUUGCCAAUCAUCCUCAUUGAUCCUCUCAUACUCAUGGAUUUGUGAUUGUAAAUAUUGAACAUAUUUAUGAUUUCAAAUCAGUGAAGAUUCAAUUGUUUUCUAUGCAGAUUUAAGGGAAAAGAAAUCCUUUCUGACCACGGGAUAAUCUGAGAAAAUUAUCAUCAAAUUUAUCUAAAAAUCAGGCUUUAGCUGACUUUUGUUCAAAAGGGGGAACAGUGCCGAUUUUGGGUAGUAUUCACAGACUGUAUAUAGAACGGACAGAGUCCGCCUCCUCGCUGGCUGAAAUCACUCCGAGAACAGCACCCUCUGGUGACAGGCUGCAGUAUAGGUUGUAAAUCCCGCCUCCGCCAGUCAUCCUUAUGGAGCUGUGGACAAACUUUAGAAAUUUAUUACACAGAAUAAAAUUUUUUCUCCCCCCGUGGUUGCGAUGUUGACAUGUAGUUACUGUAAGACUGGUUUGUGUUCAAGUCCUCUUUUUUCUGUGCAGCUCAAUUUUAAAAAGUUAUUAGGGGGUUCAUGUUUUCUAUGAUUGACACUUGAUACAGCCUAUAGGCGUACGAAGGUUGCGUAGCUCAUCGGGGGGAUUCGCUGUUUGAGCCGAGUGUCAUCACAGCGACUCUCGGCGACUCUCCCACCGAAUGCGUACAAUGCUACUGCACAAUGUUGGUUUCAGGAAAUGGAGAAAAAACGCGAUAUUAGCUUUUCGGCUUCGAUUCUGUAUACUGGUAGAAGGAAGAACCAAGUUGUCCAUAGUAUAAACAGUCUAUGGUACUACUCCUUUAUCUUGUACCUGCUUUAGUUCUCAUUUGACAUGGCUCCUUUUGUUCACUGUCAUCUUUUAUGUCCCGUGUUUUCCUAAUUUCUUUGCACGUUUUUUUAUUCCACAGCACUUUGAACAAAUCUGAAGUGACUCAGUUUGAAAAAGUCGAGUUACACUGAACUGUUACAGCAGACUUAACCACAAACACACUUGAAGAGGCAGCGAUUAGAAAUAAAACACUGAUACCUUUUGUUUUAAGGUCGGGAUAUGAAUAUAAAACCAGCAGUCAUCUCCUCUGUCAUGUCAGUCUAACAGGCUGUUAUUGUGCCGUUUAGCCGACAUUCGUGAAAUCUGACAUUAUGAACAGACAGGAGCUCUUGUAGUCUGAACUUUUACCACGGCAGCUGAAUAAUGAUGAGCACGAACAUCGAUCCAACCCACUGAGGAAAUGUUUGCCGCAUUUGAAUGCAAACCCACAACCUCAUGUAUGUUUCUCUCCUACUGUUGCUUCAUUUACACUUUAAUUCCUCCUCCUCUUCAUCACGGCACCUCUGUGUAUUUUCCACAGUUUCUUCUUCUCUUUGUGAAGUUGGUGUUGAGAUAAACUUGUGACAGCAGAAGAGAAGCAGUCAGAGCUGUCAGCACUCUUUUCUGUGUGUGUGUGUGUGUGUGUGUGUGUGUGUGUGUGUGUGUGUGUGUGUGUGUGUGUGUGUGUGUGUGUGUCAGACAGCAUGGUUCUGCUUCAAAGACCAUUUUGUGUCAAUGGGUGUGUCAUGACGGAUUUUUGUCAGCCCCCCUGUGGUGGUAUGAGACUUCCUGAGUGUGUAGCAAGCCAGGGUGUUAUCUGUGUGUGUGUGUGUUUGUGUGUGUGUGUGUGUGUGUGUGCGUGUGUGUGUGUGUGUGUGUGUGUGUGUGUGUGUGUGUGUGUGUGUGUGUGUGGGAGCUGACUCAGUUCCUCGGGGUAGAUCCCUGAAGCUCGGCUGUCAGACUGUGUUUUUCUUCGCUGGUCUUUUGUGCUCUUCUUCUUCUCUUACUGUACGUCUGCUUCUGUAAAUCUGUUCAAGAGGAGACGUCAUCCCAAACUUCAACGUUUGUCCUCCAAUUAUUCAAAGUUUUGAACUUCAAAAACUGCAGCUAUAAAACAGCUGAAGAAAUAUUUGCUGCAGGAUUCUAGUUAACUCUUUAAAAGUUGAGUUUAUGUCAUCAUCAGUGAGAAAAAUGAAGAAAUAUUGAGCACGAAAAGUCGACUUAUUGCAUAAUAAGAAGUAAAACGUGCUUCAUGAUGUUCAGAUAAUGACCCUGAAGUUAGUCUCGGCAUAAUCACACACCUGAACCUCGUACCUGGAUCACUGCAGGGGUUUCACACCAAUCAGCUCGGCUCUGCAGCUGCAGAUUUAAUGGUUUUACAAUCUCCAACCAGAAAUGAAGAACUAGCCUGGGACAUCUGCAGCUGAAGGGAGGAAAUGAGUGAUAGACUGAACAUUAUUUUAUCAUCUGAGAUCAGGGAGUUUAACUUUCUUCUUUUGUUCUGGAUUUGAAAACUUUUUCUUUUAAAUUGUAUCGUUUCAAACAAGGGUAGAGGUCAGAAACCUUUCUGUGAAAAGAGCCAAACUCCAGCCUUGAGACUGACACCACGCUCUCCGCUGUGCAGGAUCACCUCAUGUGAGUUCGCCACCAUUGAGGUUUCACUUGUUAGUAAUGUAUUUAAGUGUUCUUGUGUUACCAAAAUUUAAAAAAUCUCAACAGACUCUCGAGUUCUUAUACAUGUAAGUUUUAUAGGCACUUUUCAGCACUUAACUUUUUCAUCAGACAGUGUAACAUAUCCGUACUACUCUGCCUGCAGUUGUACCUUUGUUUUGUUGCACUACUAUCAUGAUCACUUUUUGUUUUAAGUAGCAGUUAAGGUCUUUUGCUAUCAACAGCUAGGUCUGACUCCGCCCCUCAGUUGCCGUAGCUAGCAGGAAUAUCAACUCAACAUGAUAAAAGCUGAUGGUACAAGAAAGAACUACACAGCUGCACAAAAACUGCACAUUGCUGAAUAUGUUGGAAAUCAUCACGCAAGAAGACAGUUUCAACAUUUUUACCUCUGAGAGAUCAUGAGAAAGAGAGUGCUGUCCCCAAGUGACUCGUAUUACAGAAUUUACGGUAAAUUUUGUACCUCAAAGAAGAGGCCAAUGCUCAGUGCUGCAACAGCAUUUUACUCAUGCAGAGUUAGCUUACUUAUGUAAUCCUGCUGAAAAGAAUUUUUUGUAUAAUUCAUAUUUGUCUUGAUUUUAUAAAAACUUUAUUUCAUCCUCAGUCUUUUACACUGCAGAAAAACUUCAUCAGCUGCAGCGAUCUGAGAGUCAAACAGGCAGAGAGCGGGUUGGAUAAAGGCAGAAAGUUAUUAUUAAAAUGUUGUUGGAUGAACCGUGUGUGUGUGUGUGUGUGUGUGUGUGUGUGUGUGUGUGUGUGUGUGUGUGUGUGUGUGUGUGUGUGCUGGACAACUCAGCAUUAAAUCUCAUUAGGAAGUGAGGAUGAGAGAGCUGGUCUGCUGCCCGAGGAGACACACACACACACACACACACACACACACACACACACACACACACACACACACACACACACACACACACACACACACACACACACUCUGAUCCAGCCAUGCACGAAUUAUACAGAGUUCAACACACUUAUACAUCCUGGCAUUCAGAUGCUGCAGGGGUCCAUUUAGAGUGAAACAUCCCAUAAUUAGGGUGUGUCCGUUUCCAUGGCGAUGAAUAAUACAGUGCUUUUGGUAAAGAAAUCAAUUCACGUAUGUAUCUGAAUGUCUACUACUCAGGGCAGAGUCAGAGAGCCAUUUUAAAGUGAAUUUGGUCAAUUUUGCUUCAUUUUUAUCAGUUUCACACUCGACUUUCUUUUACCUUUUAAUUAUUUUUUUUAAAAAAUCAUGUUUUUUUUUUAAACAAACUGCAAUUUGUUAUGGUGAGCAAAAAUUAGCAGUAAAUUGACAAACUAGAAAACUGUUCACAGAAUACAUUGGAAAAGAAAGAAAACAGUAGCUGUUAACCCUCAGCCAACUUUGUAUUCCGCUUCCUGUUUUACAUCUUUUGUUGGUUUGACACCAAAUUUCCUCAGCUGUUCAUGGUGUUCUCUGCCAAGUUUGAGUUGUAAUCUAGUCAGAGUCCAAAUAAAUGAAAAGAAAUGAGACUGAAGCCUUUUGAAGGAGAUUAAUGUCAGCAGGGGGAACACAAAGGGUGGCUUUGAGGUUCCCAAUGCCCACAAAUUUAAUCUUAAAAACCUUCAAUUCCUACCUAUUAAAACCCAAAGUGGCUUAACAAAUUAUGUAUUAUGUUUGCAUUCAUUCUCCCACAGCUGGUCAUUAUUCUAUUUUAAUUUCAAAGUAUGUUUACUAUCCCAAUCCCCUCAGGAGUAGGCCAGUGGUUUAUUCGUUAAGUUCUCACCAAAGUAGUCUGGGUCAAACUGAGUUUUUGGCGAUUCUGUCACAAUCCCUGCUGGGAACUUUUAUUUAACAUAAGACUGUCUUUUUGUGUUCUAGAUCCAAUUUUUGGACCCAGGAGAACAUCAUAAAAAGGGGCUUUUUUAACCCACGGUUUCUGUUAAUUUUAAGCAUCAUCCAGCCUACUUUGUCCCCAAAC